AUUGAACGCUGGCGGAAUGCUUUACACAUGCAAGUCGAACGGUAGAGGGGGCAACCCCUCGAGAGUGGCGAACGGGUGAGUAAUAUAUCGGAACGUGCCCAGUCGUGGGGGAUAACGUAGUGAAAGUUACGCUAAUACCGCAUACGAUCUAAGGAUGAAAGCGGGGGAUCGCAAGACCUCGCGCGAUUGGAGCGGCCGAUAUCAGAUUAGGUAGUUGGUGGGGUAAAGGCUCACCAAGCCAACGAUCUGUAGCUGGUCUGAGAGGACGACCAGCCACACUGGAACUGAGACACGGUCCAGACUCCUACGGGAGGCAGCAGUGGGGAAUUUUGGACAAUGGACGCAAGUCUGAUCCAGCCAUUCCGCGUGCAGGAUGAAGGCCCUCGGGUUGUAAACUGCUUUUGUACGGAACGAAAAGGUCUCUCUUAAUACGGGGGACUCAUGACGGUACCGUAAGAAUAAGCACCGGCUAACUACGUGCCAGCAGCCGCCGUAAAAC
rnacentral:rRNA from 1 species